UGCUUGAAGCCUGCUACUCUUUGCUUAGAUAGAAAGCCAGUGAGAUGGUUUCUGUGCCUGACCCCUUUUUCCUAAAUGAAAGAGCAGCAAUGAAUGCUGUGGUGGCGUAAAGCCUCACAUGCAUUAAUGAACAAUAACUAGGCAGGGAUUCUCUUUGGGGCUACAGUCUGGCCAGUUCCUCUCAUAGUCUGUGCAAGAUCUCUGAAGGACUCUUCUGUGCCUGUGACCGGAUGUCAGCAUUUGAAUCUGGGGCGGAGUGAUUCACAUCGGGAGGAACUCUAUUCCAGUAGGAGAUUGUCGUCCUGCUGUGUCUGUGAGGUUCAGGGGCAGCUGUGAGGGGAGGUUGGAGGCUGCAUGGUUCCUGCUUCAAGGAAUGUCUGCAAAAAAAGAAAAUAACAGUUUGACCGUAUAUGGAUGUGAGAAGGGGAGGCUGCCGAGUGCUUCACCAUGAAACUGCCCACCCAGAGAUCUCAACUAACAUAAAACACUAGUUGGAGGUGGUAUAGUACUUUCUAAAGUGAGCAGAUUCUCCAAGGUGAUAACAGCAGUCUAGAAAAUCAUGUUGAAAAUGGAGUUGAAGCUGAAGAGCCUAACGGGUUUUGCCAGCAUAUCACACAUCUCGUUUUGCCAUAAACG